UUAAUAGAAGCCAAAAUUUCAGAGGCUAUUCACUGUUAAUGAAUUCAUUGUAAUCACCUAUUAAA
rnacentral:tRNA from 1 species